rnacentral:tRNA from 1 species
GCUGACUGGCUCAGUUGGCAGAGCACAUGACUCUUGAUCUUGGGGUUGUGGGUUCAAGCCCAUGUUGAGUG